GCUGCCAUAGUCUAGUUGGCUUAGGACAUCGCUCUCUCAAGGCGAAGAUCACGGGUUCGAAUCCCGUUGGCAGCA
rnacentral:tRNA from 1 species